rnacentral:rRNA from 1 species
GACGAACGCUGGCGGCGUGCCUAACACAUGUAAGUCAAGCGAUGAAACCCUUCGGGGUGGAUUAGCGGCGGACGGGUGAGCAACACGUGGGUAACCUGCCUCAAAGAGGGGGAUAGCCUCCCGAAAGGGAGAUUAAUACCGCAUAACAUUAGUUUCUCGCAUGAGAGAGUAAUUAAAGGAGUAAUCCGCUUUGAGAUGGACCCGCGGCGCAUUAGCUAGUUGGUGAGGUAAAGGCUCACCAAGGCGACGAUGCGUAGCCGACCUGAGAGGGUGAUCGGCCACAUUGGAACUGAGACACGGUCCAGACUCCUACGGGAGGCAGCAGUGGGGAAUAUUGCACAACGGGCGAAAGCCUGAUGCAGCAACGCCGCGUGAGUGAUGAAGGCCUUCGGGUUGUAAAGCUCUGUCUUUUGGGACGAUAAUGACGGUACCAAAGGAGGAAGCCACGGCUAACUACGUGCCAGCCGCCGCGGUAAUAC